rnacentral:rRNA from 1 species
UGGGGAAUUUUGCACAAUGGGGGAAACCCUGAUGCAGCGACGCCGCGUGAUUUAGAAGGCCUUCGGGUUGUAAAAAUCUUUUCUAUGGGAAGAAAAUGACAGUACCAUAGGAAUAAGGACCGGCUAAUUACGUGCCGGCAGCCGCGGUAAUACGUAAGGUCCGAGCGUUGUCCGGAAUCAUUGGGCGUAAAGGGUACGUAGGCGGGUAAGCAAGUUAGAAGUGAAAUCCUAUAGCUCAACUAUAGUAAGCUUUUAAAACUGCUCAUCUUGAGGUAUGGAAGGGAAAGUGGAAUUCCUAGUGUAGCGGUGAAAUGCGCAGAUAUUAGGAGGAAUACCGGUGGCGAAGGCGACUUUCUGGCCAUAACCUGACGCUGAGGUACGAAAGCGUGGGUAGCAAACAGG